UGUCUAAUGCUAUUGAAUAUUUUUCAAGAACAAGUAUCUCAUGAUACUCAAGCUGAGUGCCACAAAGAACAACAAGAAGAACAAGUUGAAUACCAAAAAGAAAAAGAAGAAGAACAAGCUGAAUGCCAAAAUAAACAAGCACCGCCUGAUUCUCAAGCUGAAUGCCAAAAAAAAAAAGAAAAAGAACAUGCUGAAUACCAAAAAGAACAAGCAACGCCUGAUUUUCAAGCUGAAUGCCAAAAACAAGCUUAAGAUGAUAAUGAAUCAUCAUUAGAUUUAUCUAUCUCUCUACACUUAGAUUCCAGCGAUGAUUUACACGCAAUUUGAGAUGAUAGCAGUCGUGAAAUAAAUAUUUCUGAUUUGCGUAAUGAUGUCGAUGUUGAUAGUAGCAGUAAUUCGAUGAACCUGACACCACAAUUAAUUUUUAAUGUGCAAAAUGAUUCUUAUAGUGAUGAGUGGAAGUAUGAAGAAUCAAUUUAAACAAACGAUGUGAUGCAGACCAUUCCAAAAGCAGUCGGAUCUUUCCAAAACAUAUUAACAACUGUACGAUCAGUACGAAUAAAAAUUGGACAAACGUUGAAGAAAAAUUCAAUGUUUAAACUUCUCGUAAAAAAUCUAAAUUUAUCACAAGAACUUUUGACCAAUAUUUUAAGUUCGUCUGAAGACACUUUAGAUAUAAGUAAUGUCCAAGGAUUUCUAGAAGGUACAAACGUCAGAGAUCUUCAAAGUAUACUCGAAUAUGUCCAAACAAAACAUGUAUUAGAAAUUGAAGAGACUAAAUGUUUAUCAACAAUCCCGGAAAAAAACGAAAAAACUGAAAGAUAAGCUUUUUAUUGCCCUUUAUGCAACGAAGAAACAUGAAAGCUUCCAAGACACUUAAAAAAGCAUUUGAAUUAUAAUGAAGAUGUUAAAGAAUGCCUUGAACUGCCUAUGCAUUCAGCCGAAAGAAAAUUAAUUUUGAAUUCAUAUAGAAAACAAGGGCAAUAUAUUCAGAAACACAAUUUUAGUGCAGCUAAUAAUCCUGCUGUAAAAAUGCUAACCUCUUUAGAAAACUAUUCACAAUAUAGCCAAAAGGUGGUACAUGCAUCUUUAAAAAACGAUAGAAUUACAACGACGAUACUCGCAGAUACGCUAUUUGACUUGUACGACAAAUAUCUUUGCCAAACAGAUAAAGAAAGCAAAAAUAAAAAUUUUGUUAUACGGUUCUACAUCGGUUGUCAAACCCUUGAGCCAAAACUAACACAGUUCUCUGACAUAUUUAAUAUACAGUGUUACAAUACUUGAGUCAAAGCAGCUUAUAUAAUGGGCGAUAGAGAACAUGUGACAAUUUCACAUGUAGCAUAUAAAAUAAGAGCAUAUUUCAAGCAAUCUGGAUUGUUAUUAAAAAUAGAAUGUUCAAAAACAAACCAAAAUGACAAGAGAGAAUUAGUACAAGUAUUUUUAAAUAAAAUAAAAAGUAAAUUUAUUAAUGACAUUGAUAAUAUGUGCAAGUUAAAGGAUACUAAAGUAGAUAGCAAUGGACCAAAGCCUAAACGAUUAAAGGUUUAGUUAUGAUUAUUAUAAUGUUGAUAUUAUAAUAUAAUGUUUGUAUUUUAAUAAAGUUAAAAACUUUUUCAAUAUAUCAUA